GACGAACGCUGGCGGCGUGCUUAACACAUGCAAGUCGAACGGAAAGGCCCUGCUUUUGUGGGGUGCUCGAGUGGCGAACGGGUGAGUAACACGUGAGUAACCUGCCCUUGACUUUGGGAUAACUUCAGGAAACUGGGGCUAAUACCGGAUAGGAGCUCCUGCUGCAUGGUGGGGGUUGGAAAGUUUCGGCGGUUGGGGAUGGACUCGCGGCUUAUCAGCUUGUUGGUGGGGUAGUGGCUUACCAAGGCUUUGACGGGUAGCCGGCCUGAGAGGGUGACCGGCCACAUUGGGACUGAGAUACGGCCCAGAAUCCUACGGGAGGCAGCAGUGGGGAAUAUUGCACAAUGGGCGGAAGCCUGAUGCAGCAACGCCGCGUGCGGGAUGACGGCCUUCGGGUUGUAAACCGCUUUCGCCUGUGACGAAGCGUGAGUGACGGUAAUGGGUAAAGAAGCAACGGCUAACUACGUG
rnacentral:rRNA from 1 species